rnacentral:rRNA from 1 species
UUGGAGGGCAAGUCUGGUGCCAGCAGCCGCGGUAAUUCCAGCUCCAAUAGCGUAUAUUAAAGUUGUUGUGGUUAAAAAAGCUCGUAGUUGAAUCUUGGGCCUGGCUGGCCGGUCCGCCUCACCGCGUGUACUGGUCCGGCCGGGUCUUUCACUCUGCGGAACCACAUGCCCUUCAGUGGGUGUGGCGGGGAAGCAGGACUUUUACUUUGAAAAAAUUAGAGUGCUCUAAGCAGGCCAAUGCUCGAAUACAUUAGCAUGGAAUAAUAAAUAGG